UACGUAGGGGGCAAGCGUUGUCCGGAAUCAUUGGGCGUAAAGAGCGUGUAGGCGGCUUGGUAAGUCUGCUGUGAAAGUCCAGGGCUCAACCCUGGGAUGCCGGUGGAUACUGUCAAGCUCGAGUCCGGAAGAGGCGAGUGGAAUUCCUGGUGUAGCGGUGAAAUGCGCAGAUAUCAGGAGGAACACCAAUGGCGAAGGCAGCUCGCUGGGACGUGACUGACGCUGAGACGCGAAAGCGUGGGGAGCAAACAG
rnacentral:rRNA from 1 species